rnacentral:tRNA from 2 species
GGGCGGUUAGCUCAGUUGGUAGAGCGCCUGCUUUACACGCAGGAUGUCGGCGGUUCGAGCCCGUCACUGCCCA